CUUCAAGUAAAUGUUGGCAAAAAUCUGUUGUCUGAGAAGGACACUGAGCUACAGGGAAUGGAACAGAAGCUUUAUCUAACUGAAACUGAAAAAGCUGUGUUGCAUCAAAUUUUGAUGAAUGAAGUUGCUGCACUCAAAGAGGGUAGUGAAGAACUGAAAUUGAUAAUAAGGGAGAAAGAUCGCAGAGGGGAACUGCUAGAAAUUGAAAAUUGUGACCUAGCAAAAGCAUUGCAGUUGGCAGAGGAUGAGUUGAAGACUCUUAAAAGUAUGACGGAUCAGCUCAAUCUUCAAGUAAAUGUUGGCAAAAAUCUGUUGUCUGAGAAGGACACUGAGCUUCAGGGAGUGGAACAGAAGCUUUAUCUUACUGAAACUGAGAAAGCUGUGUUGCAUCAAAUUUUGAUGAAUGAAGUUGCUGCACUCAAAGAGGGUAGUGAAGAACUGAAAUUGAUAAUAAGGGAGAAAGAUCGCAGAGGGGAACUGCUAGAAAUUGAAAAUUGUGGC
rnacentral:lncRNA from 1 species